GAUGAACGCUGGCGGCGUGCCUAAUACAUGCAAGUCGAGCGAACAGACGAGGAGCUUGCUCCUCUGACGUUAGCGGCGGACGGGUGAGUAACACGUGGAUAACCUACCUAUAAGACUGGGAUAACUUCGGGAAACCGGAGCUAAUACCGGAUAAUAUAUUGAACCGCAUGGUUCAAUAGUGAAAGACGGCUUUGCUGUCACUUAUAGAUGGAUCCGCGCCGCAUUAGCUAGUUGGUAAGGUAACGGCUUACCAAGGCAACGAUGCGUAGCCGACCUGAGAGGAUGAUCAGCCACACUGGAACUGAGACACGGUCCAGACUCCUACGGGAGGCAGCAGUAGGGAAUCUUGCGCAAUGGGCGAAAGCCUGACCCAGCCACGCCGCGUGAGUGAUGAAGGCCUUCGGAUCGUAAAGCUCUGUUAUUAGGGAAGAACAAAUGUGUAAGUAACUAUGCACGUCUUGACGGUACCUAAUCAGAAAGCCACGGCUAACUACGUG
rnacentral:rRNA from 1 species